UUCCUUGGUCUUUAAUUGCAAGCACUCUCACACGUAAACGCCACAUAUACAUAGGAAAAGUAGACCGAUCAGCUUCAGCCUUCAUCGAUCCUGCAUGGGCACCAAAUGAAAGAUGCUGUGCAAAUAUAUAUGCAUUAAUUUUUCCGACUAAUUCAUGAAACUCCAUCUUGCUUGAGUCUCGGUCAUUUUCGGUGUCGUUGAUAAAGAGGAAAUUAAAUCGUUGAUCAAUAUGCUUAGAGCUGGUCGUUCUUUGGUUUCCUGCAACUCGCGAAGUAGUAUUCUCGAACAACUUGGUCGUCAUGAGAGGACGUCUUUCUCCAGCUAUGCAUCUCAGUUGGUACACCAUCCAGAUUUUGCUAUGUAUCAUAAGCUUGGAAAUGGCAGCUACCUGAUCUGCGAUUCAAUUUUUCACGGGAAAACAAAGAUAUUAAAGUAUUAAUUAUGCAGGAAUCCUAAAAUAUAUGAGUUCUGCAUAACAACGUCCCAUGACUUUAUGUACAAAAAAGACUAUUGAUGAAUUAAUUACCUAAUUAACCAUACAGGAUAAAAUGGGUUUUUGGAUCCGGAGUAACUUUAUCGAUACCGACGUCGAAACAGGAUUGGAGGAAACUACUAAGGAUUGGAGGAGAGACCGAAAUGGUGGUUGAAGAGGUUGAAGCGUGGCAGAGACAGUAGAAAAGGUUGCAACUGUGGCAGAGAAGAUAUCAGCAGAGGUGGCAGACAAACUUCCCGAGAAUGGUAAACUCAAGGAAGCAGCUUUGUUUGUGGAACGUGUUUCGAAAGAGGCUGCCCAUGAUGCUCAUCUAACAAAAGAUUUUAUUCACAAGGUGGAUGCAUUGAAAGAAGACCUGGAGGCACUACUGGUUGAACCCAUGAAUAUUGAUCAGAUUUCAAAGCUGCAAGGAUCUGAAGGGAAGUAGUAAUGCAAUAUGGAAAUACUCCAAGCUAGGUUGGAUAUAAUUAAUGAUUCAUUCAUUCUAUUUUGAAACGUUUAAAGCACAAAAAUACAAGCCGUUUUCUAAUUUGACCUUCCUGUCUGCAA